rnacentral:rRNA from 1 species
UACAGAAGGUGCGAGCGUUAAUCGGAAUUACUGGGCGUAAAGGGUGCGUAGGUGGUUAUGUAAGUUAGGUGUGAAAUUCCCGGGCUUAACCUGGGGACUGCGCCUAAAACUACAUAGCUAGAGUACUGUAGAGGAAAGUGGAAUUUCCGGUGUAGCGGUGAAAUGCGUAGAUAUCGGAAGGAACAUCAGUGGCGAAGGCGACUUUCUGGACAGAUACUGACACUGAGGCACGAAAGCAUGGGGAGCAAACAGGAUUAGAUACCCCUGUAGU